UACGUAGGGUGCAAGCGUUAAUCGGAAUUACUGGGCGUAAAGCGUGCGCAGGCGGUUUUGUAAGUCUGUCGUGAAAUCCCCAGGCUCAACCUGGGAACUGCGUCCGAUACUGGAUGGCUUGAAUUCGGGAGAGGGAUGCAGAAUUCCAGGUGUAGCGGUGAAAUGCGUAGAUAUCUGGAGGAAUACCGGUGGCGAAGGCGGCAUCCUGGACCGACAUUGACGCUGAACGGCGAAAGCUAAGGGGAGCGAAAC
rnacentral:rRNA from 1 species